UCAGUGGCUUAAUUCUAAAUGUGGAGCGAUAAGGGAAAGAUAUCUCAAAUGUGACACAGGAUUGUCCUAACUGCUUUAAACCAGACCUUUCUGGUAGAAGGUAUGUCAGGAUUACUGAAUGAGGUUUGCCUGAGCAAGGACAGCAUCUAUGAAAAGGACACUCCCUGAUUGUGUGCGGUGCCUGGGGUGGGUGGAACAAGUUUUUCUUCUUGCCCAUGUUGCAAUAUGGGAGGAGAGAGCACAAAUGACAAGGCGGCAGGCACUGAAGUUCCAUAGGUCAGAAGAACAUUGGAGAGGCUGCUUUUCUGUCUUCCCUACCAGAGCUGCAUCACGACUGAAGAAUGUCUUCCAUUUUAAAAGUGUUUGGGAGAGACGAGAAGGAAAAGGAAAAGGA